UGUUAAGCCUGGGCAGGCGUCGCGGUGAUGAGGGGGGGGGCAGGCGGUGUGAGGGAGUAUUGGGCGUAAAGGGGGCGUAGGCGGUCUAUCAAGUCGAAGGUGAAAUUCCAGUGCUUAACUCUGGCGGGUCGUUCGAUACUGGGCGACUAGAGUGUGGAAGAGGGUGCUGGAAUUCCCGGUGUAGCGGUGAAAUGCGUAGAUAGCGGGAGGAACACCAGCGGCGAAGGCGGGCACCUGGGCCAACACUGACGCUGAGGCGCGAAAGCUAGGGGAGCAAACAGGAUUAGAUACCCCGGUAGUC
rnacentral:rRNA from 1 species